rnacentral:lncRNA from 1 species
UGUACAUUCAAUUCUAAAAGUAUUUUAUUUAAUUAAAAGGAAACCUUCCAAUUUUCUACCACUAAAAAUCGGGAAAGUGACAACAAUUGCCUUUGUUGUUCGAGGUGUCCUCUGGUCUUGGGUCCUGAUCUGCCGAAAAUUCCCUCCCUGCCCCCAGGCACAUUGGUUUUGUAAAUGCCUGAGUGUGGCACCCUGUGGGAAAGAUGAGGCUUUGUAUGAAUGCAUUGUUAAGGCAGGUCUUGGGGAACCGUGCACGGGGACAUAAUAGCAGACUUCUGAUCUCUAGUUUGCAUUGAUCUUACAUUUAGACACAGAUUCAGAAGAACAGACCCUCCCUUUUCCAGUGCCUUCGGAAAGAUUGCCGCUCCGUAGAAUGAGUCCUUUCUCCUCCACCCUUAAUCUACAACCCAGCUUCCCCGGGAGAUCCUACUUUGAUUUCCGAUCCUCACCCCACCAGCUGAGCUUGCAUUCCUCUUUACAGUCUCUCAAUGCACCGGGAUGCAAUUUUGAGACACAAUCUGCACCUUACUCUCAAUUAGUUGACAUUAAAAAGCUGUUGGCAGGUAUGGAAUAACCUUAUUCUGUUACCAAAUAGCAAAGACCAAAGUGCAUGUGAGGUGUCUCACAGGUUUAAUAAAUC